GAUGAAGAACGCAGCGAAAUGCGAUAAGUAAUGUGAAUUGCAGAAUUCAGUGAAUCAUCGAAUCUUUGAACGCACCUUGCGCCCUUUGGCCAUUCCGAAGGGCAUGCCUGUUUGAGUAUCAUGAACACCUCAACUCUCAUGGCUCGCCAUGAUGAGCUUGGAUUUGGGGGUCUUGCUGGCCUGUGGUCGGCUCCUCUCAAAUGGAUCAGCUUGCCAGUGUUUGGUGGCAUCACAGGUGUGAUAACUAUCUGCGCUUGUGGUUUUCCAUCAGAUAACCUUCAGUGAUGGAGGUUCGCUGGAGCUCAUAAACGUCUCCCCUAAGCGGGGACAGCCCUUUGAAUGUUUGAUCUCAAAUCAGGUAGGACUACCCGCUGAACUUAAGCAUAUCAAUAAGCGGAGA
rnacentral:misc_RNA from 1 species